CCUACGGGGGGCAGCAGUGGGGAAUAUUGGACAAUGGGGGCAACCCUGAUCCAGCCAUGCCGCGUGUGUGAAGAAGGCCCUCGGGUUGUAAAGCACUUUCAGUGAGGAAGAACGCCUGGUGGUUAAUACCCAUCAGGAAAGACAUCACUCACAGAAGAAGCACCGGCUAACUCCGUGCCACCAGCCGCGGUAAUACGGAGGGUGCGAGCGUUAAUCGGAAUUACUGGGCGUAAAGCGCGCGUAGGUGGCUUGAUAAGCCGGUUGUGAAAGCCCCGGGCUCAACCUGGGAACGGCAUCCGGAACUGGCAAGCUAGAGUGCAGGAGAGGAAGGUAGAAUUCCCGGUGUAGCGGUGAAAUGCGUAGAGAUCGGGAGGAAUACCAGUGGCGAAGGCGGCCUUCUGGACUGACACUGACACUGAGGUGCGAAAGCGUGGGUAGCAAACAGGAUUAGAUACCCGAGUAGUC
rnacentral:rRNA from 1 species